AUGAACGCUAGCUACAGGCUUAACACAUGCAAGUCGAGGGGCAGCAUUUUAGUUUGCUUGCAAACUAAAGAUGGCGACCGGCGCACGGGUGAGUAACACGUAUCCAACCUGCCGAUAACUCGGGGAUAGCCUUUCGAAAGAAAGAUUAAUAUCCGAUGGUAUAUUAAAACCGCAUGGUUUUACUAUUAAAGAAUUUCGGUUAUCGAUGGGGAUGCGUUCCAUUAGUUUGUUGGCGGGGUAACGGCCCACCAAGACUACGAUGGAUAGGGGUUCUGAGAGGAAGGUCCCCCACAUUGGAACUGAGACACGGUCCAAACUCCUACGGGAGGCAGCAGUGAGGAAUAUUGGUCAAUGGACGAGAGUCUGAACCAGCCAAGUAGCGUGAAGGAUGACUGCCCUAUGGGUUGUAAACUUCUUUUAUAUGGGAAUAAAGUAUUCCACGUGUGGGAUUUUGUAUGUACCAUAUGAAUAAGGAUCGGCUAACUCCGUGCCAGCAGCCGCGGUAAUACGGAGGAUCCGAGCGUUAUCCGGAUUUAUUGGGUUUAAAGGGAGCGUAGGUGGAUUGUUAAGUCAGUUGUGAAAGUUUGCGGCUCAACCGUAAAAUUGCAGUUGAAACUGGCAGUCUUGAGUACAGUAGAGGUGGGCGGAAUUCGUGGUGUAGCGGUGAAAUGCUUAGAUAUCACGAAGAACUCCGAUUGCGAAGGCAGCUCACUAGACUGCAACUGACACUGAUGCUCGAAAGUGUGGGUAUCAAACAGGAUUAGAUACCCUGGUAGUCCACACAGUAAACGAUGAAUACUCGCUGUUUGCGAUAUACAGUAAGCGGCCAAGCGAAAGCAUUAAGUAUUCCACCUGGGGAGUACGCCGGCAACGGUGAAACUCAAAGGAAUUGACGGGGGCCCGCACAAGCGGAGGAACAUGUGGUUUAAUUCGAUGAUACGCGAGGAACCUUACCCGGGCUUAAAUUGCAUUUGAAUAAUCUGGAAACAGGUUAGCCGCAAGGCAAAUGUGAAGGUGCUGCAUGGUUGUCGUCAGCUCGUGCCGUGAGGUGUCGGCUUAAGUGCCAUAACGAGCGCAACCCUUAUCUUUAGUUACUAACAGGUCAUGCUGAGGACUCUAGAGAGACUGCCGUCGUAAGAUGUGAGGAAGGUGGGGAUGACGUCAAAUCAGCACGGCCCUUACGUCCGGGGCUACACACGUGUUACAAUGGGGGGUACAGAAGGCAGCUACCUGGCGACAGGAUGCUAAUCCCAAAAACCUCUCUCAGUUCGGAUCGAAGUCUGCAACCCGACUUCGUGAAGCUGGAUUCGCUAGUAAUCGCGCAUCAGCCAUGGCGCGGUGAAUACGUUCCCGGGCCUUGUACACACCGCCCGUCACACCAUGGGAGUUGGAAAUGCCCGAAGUCAGUGACCCAACCGCAAGGAGGGAGCUGCCGAAGGCAGGUUCGAUAACUGGGGUG
rnacentral:rRNA from 1 species